rnacentral:lncRNA from 1 species
GCGGAGCCCUGCAGGAGCAGAUCAUCACCACCACCGGAGCACCGUCGCGCUGUCGGAGAACUCAUCUACUUCUCCGUCUCUCUUGCUGGAUCAAGAAGGCCGAGAUCGUCAUCGAGUUGUACGUGUGCUGAACGUCGAGGUGCCGUCCGUUCGGCGCUAGAUCGAAACGGAUCAAGGGAUGGAUCAUGGGACGACGGUGAUUUGAAUCACGAAGUUGUACCACUACAUCAACCGCGUUUCAUAACGCUUCCCGCUUAGCGAUCUACAAGGGUAUGUAGAUCUAAUCUUCUCUCAUAUAUCAACAUCACCAUGAUAGGUCUUCGUGUGCGUAGGAAAUUCUUUGUUCCCCAUGCAA